rnacentral:lncRNA from 1 species
AUGUACCUGGAUGACAAUUUGCUUACUAUUUACUUUGCUCUACUGGGAGUUCAUUUCAUUUUCCAAGCUAUUUCCUUCUGUUAUUACAGGAUGUGGUUCUCCUUGCUGCAUGCUUGCAGCCCCCGCGUCCCUUUCAUCCUUCCCCUGUGCCCCGUUGCCGUGAGUUUGGAGCACCCACAGGCAGCACCAGCUUUGGGGGACAUCAUCUCCCUGUGGGCACAGUGUGACCCACGCCACCGACCGGGGAACCUCGUGCAGGACAAGAUGCCGGGGUGGAUCUGCUGCAGGCACAGCACGCUGGGGGGACACGCGCUGCCCGCACCCUGGGGACGGGUGGCACCAGGUCAGUGGUGCCAUCACAGCACAGAAACAGGAGCCACGAAAUCACUGUCCUGCUGGGAUAUUCAGGCUGCAGCUUCCGAGGGCACCGCGGGGCCCCUUGGAGCCCUGGCUCAGGUCCAAGGCCACAGGCACGCACAGGAGACAGUUUGGGCGGGCAGCAGGGGAGGCACCGAGCCCGCGAGCAAGGCUGCCUUCGGGGAACUAAUUUAGGCAGAGAAUUUCUAGAUUAGCUAAAUUGAAUCAAAACAUUGCAAUACAGUUCAAUAAUUACUUUUACAGCAAAUGUGCUUUAAAAUGAACAGAUCAUUUUGACAGAGAACUGAGCAGCUGAUGAUAAACUCAUAUGAAAGUAUGAGCUUUGUAUAUAUGAAACUGUAUAAAAGACUUUAAUAUAUUUUUACUAUGAUCAUUAAUAUAGCAUAUAUUCAAAAAACUUCUACUGAAGCUUUCAAUUAUCUUUUUUUUCCCUUGUUUAAUAAAAUGUUGAUGGAGGAUGAGUAAUAAGUUGUC